rnacentral:rRNA from 1 species
AAGAACCUUACCUAGGCUUGACAUGCACGGAAAUCCUCCAGAGAUGGUGGGUCCGUAAGGGCCGUGCACAGGUGGUGCAUGGUUGUCGUCAGCUCGUGUCGUGAGAUGUUGGGUUAAGUCCCGCAACGAGCGCAACCCUCGUUCUAUGUUGCCAGCACGUCAUGGUGGGGACUCAUAGGAGACUGCCGGGGUCAACUCGGAGGAAGA